rnacentral:rRNA from 1 species
CCUACGGGGGGCAGCAGUGGGGAAUAUUGGACAAUGGGGGAAACCCUGAUGCAGCGACGUCGCGUGAGUGAUGAAGUAUUUCGGUAUGUAAAGCUCUAUCAGCAGGGAAGAAAAUGACGGUACCUGACUAAGAAGCCCCGGCUAACUACGUGCCAGCAGCCGCGGUAAUACGUAGGGGGCAAGCGUUAUCCGGAUUUACUGGGUGUAAAGGGAGCGUAGACGGCGGGGCAAGCCAGGUGUGAAAGGCCGGGGCUCAACCCCGGGACUGCAUUUGAAACUGUGCGGCUGGAGUGUAGGAGAGGCAGGCGGAAUUCCUGGUGUAGCGGUGAAAUGCGUAGAUAUCAGGAGGAACACCGGUGGCGAAGGCGGCCUGCUGGACGGUGACUGACGUUGAGGCUCGAAAGCGUGGGGAGCAAACAGGAUUAGAUACCCGAGUAGUC